rnacentral:rRNA from 1 species
UACGGGGGAGCAAGCGUUGUUCGGAUUUACUGGGCGUAAAGGGCGCGUAGGCGGCCACCGCAAGUCGACUGUGAAAUCUCCGGGCUUAACCCGGAAAGGUCAGCCGAUACUGCGGGCUAGAGUGCAGAAGGGCAACUGGAAUUCUCGGUGUAGCGGUGAAAUGCGUAGAUAUCGAGAGGAACACCUGCGGCGAAGGCGGGAUGCUGGGCUGAAGCACGUUGACGCUGAGGCGCGAAAGCUAGGGAGCGAACGGG